ACAUAUAUGAUGAUAUUAGAAGGAUUCACUUAUAAAGUUGUAAGCAAGAAAAAGGGGAAGAAUUUGAUGUUAUCGUGUUAAUUUCUAAUCUACAUGUACUCAAGUAAGCAUGUGUUGCCACUGUGGGAUUUCUAUGAUAGUUUUGCAAAUUUGGUCGUAAUCAAAGUUUACUUUUGAGUCGUGUUCGCUACACACUGUAGCAUUGAGAACUUUGACAGCUUCAUUAAGAAUCCAUAAGAAACCUUUUUCUUUUUUCUUUAUCUAAAUAUAAAUUCUUUAUGAUGAAAUCCUACAAGUUGGAAAGUGGAAGUGCAAAAUUAGAGUGGAAGAGGAAAAAAAAAUUGUCCCAAGACUGAUGGUGAAAAGUUUUUAUUAGCCACUAGUUUGAUAUUUUAGGUUUGAUUGGGGAGAGGGCGUGACUAUAAUGAAAUUAAAAAAAAAUGAAAAAUUACAUCUUUGCUGAGUGUUGAUUUAAUUCAUCCCAUCUUGGGAUAUUGUUGAUUACUAUUAGAAAAAAAGAUACGACAAUAGUGGUGCUAUUUAUUCACACAUUUUGCUCUUUCUAUUUUUGAAUAACUAAAAGGUCAUCUCGACAACCUGCCUCAAUCUACCCCAAAUUUUCUCAAUUAUCUAUCUUUUUCCUCAUAAGAAUGGAAUCUUACUUUGUUCUUGAUUGUUGUUACAUUGAUGUCUUGUCAUAUGCUUGUUUUGGUUCCUAAUUGUCAAUAUAUAGAUCUCCUAACUGUGAAGUUUCUGGCAUAAUUUCAAGAAGCUCCAAUCUUUAAUAGGAUGGAGUUUCACGUUGUUUUUCAUUUUCUUAUUUUUCUUUUAUGAUAUAUUUGAGAGGGACUACUUGAUGAAGAUCUCGUGUAUUGAACUCCCUGAAACCAAAUCCUGCAUUUCCAAUUGUAUUCUAAGAGACUUUAGGUUGAGUGCGAUGGAGUCCUUUUUCGUAGCUUAAAAAAUUCCAAUUUCAAGAUGCAAAACUAGCUUAGCCUGCAUUGGCCUAAUACACAAUCUAAUUGCAGCUUGCUCGCUUUUUGUUGUUGUUGUGUGUUAGAGGAGUGUUGCAACUACUUUUAGGUUGUUGGGGGAUUUUGAUGUGUAGAAGGUUCUGUUGCAUCUGAAGAAAUCUUUUACAAUUUAUAAAUAAGAUUGUUGAUUUUUGGUUUGAUAUACACUUUGACAAAAUCUUCCUUUGUCCCAUUAUUUUUUUACAUCAAAACUCUCACAUAUAUAUUUUCUCUCUUCAAACUCUUGUUUAUACUUUGUCAUUCUCAGGAGAUGGAAAGGUCGGUAAUGAUGUCUCAUCUUUACAUUCAUCCAUGAUAUUUGUGAGCUUAAAUACAGACAGCUUCAUUUGGUUUAUCUUAGUUUGUUUAAUCUUUGACAUGCUCAUUUGGUUUUGAGAACUAAUAUAUGUAUAUAUUUUUACUUAUCAAAUAAAGUAACUAGGCAUAAAAGGAAAAUGAUAUAUGUAGUAUCUCAUAUAUGACAAUCAUAACUUUUAGUAUUAUUUCACUAGAAAUUGAAUCAGUGUUUAACUUGACUUGAGAUGUCUUAGGUUGUCACAGUUCAUUAUUAAGAGAACAUCUUUUGAAAUAUUAUGCCUUCCUGAUGUUUUGGGACUUAAUGAAACUUAUAAAAUCAUUGUCUCUCUUCCUAACAAAUUAGUGUUCUAAUUCAGUAUUCACUUUAAUGCUUUAUGUUUUCUUUGUUUUCCCCUGAUCCACAUCUUGUCUUUUGUUUUUUGAUGAUUUAUGGAUAUCCCAAAAAUAAAAUAAAAAAUGUUACUUUGGUGUGAUAUAGUAAAAUGGCUCGUAUCAACUGUUGAAUUUAGGUCUAUAGUCCCGUUUAACACACUUUUUUACUUGAGUCUUUGAAGAAAAUAAAUAAUCUAGAAGGUUUGGGCGAGAAAAAUUGGCAAGGUUCCUACAGUACAGACUAGCUUCUUACCAGACAGGUGUGAUAACUCUUCCUCUUGUCCUUAUACCUGAUAUGUGUGUAACUGUGCAUGUUUAUCUGUUGAUUCUUGCAUGCUGCAUUCCUAUAGAUGCUUGUUUGUUUGAUAAGAGCGUAAAAUAUAAUGUUUUCUCCUCUUAAUUAUUGCAUUGGUGUGAUUAUUUUAUACAAAAAUGUACUCAUUAUACUUAUGCUUUGAUUCAGGUUGCGUUUUGAUAGAAAAUGUGAAAAAUUUAGAAGAAAAGAGCGACAAAGGACCAAAAUGAAAGAAAGUGAAAGUUUAGGACCAAGCUGCAAAUAAUCUAAAGAUGAGACGGGCAAUGGAAUGAUGAUUCAAAAAAGCUAAGAGUCCAUUGGGUACAAUUAGAUGUCAAAAAAAGUUAAAUAAGAUCAUAAUAUAUUCACAAAUCAAAUUCCAACCGCAUAAAGAUUUUCCAAAUUUUUAGCCAGAGAUUGAAGUCCACUUUUGACCUAGUAAAUGUCAGGAUUUGGAAAAAGCUAUCUCGCAAAAUUAUAUCCCUUUGUGUUAUCUUUUCAACACACUUUGAAUUGCCUUAAUUGGACAUCGGGUGAGAAAGUUAUGGUCAAAAUACUAAAAGUAGUCGCACAGAAUAUUCUAGGCGAAAAUUUAGUUUCCUUCUUUUGUUCCACCUCUUUUGGAAAUAACUUGGUACACGAUUUUAAGCCCUAGACUGGAUAGAGAAUGCCUCUCUUCAUCCUCAUAUCAAUUUUCUUUGGUUUUUGGCUCAAGAGUUCCAUGAAGAACUAAAAUCCUUGGUGAAGCUUGGAAGGAACUUAUUGGAUUUGGGGAAAUCACAUCAAUUGCUCAUAUAAUUUGGUGUUUUAUUUUCAAACAAUUCAAGAUUUUAGACUUUUUCCUUUUGAAUUGAUUUUGAAAUUGGUUUAAUCUUUAUUAAAUCUUUCAUAGAUCCAAUCAUGUUUUUUCUAUUGUUUAAUCGAAAUUUUUAUUGAGUUGCAAUUUCAUUCAUGUUAUUGGUGGGUUAUUUAUGAUCUUAUGCUUGAAGUAUAUGGUUACUUUGGAUCUUACUCCAAUAAUAAUUGUGGCAAUGUGUUAAAAAGUCUAAAUCUUAGAAUUUCAAUUGGAACUAAAGUGAUCUUUACUGUUAAAUCUUCCGAUUAGAGGGUUGGGAUGAAAACCUCUAAUUGAGUAAUAAUGCAUGAAUUGUUGAUGUUGAUUGAUUCAAUCCAAUUGAGGAAAUUCCAAUGCUUCACUAAUUUCACAUAUUGAUAGUUAAAUUUCAUUCCAAAUUGAUAAACUAGUCUCAAAUAAUUCCCGAAACCGCUAAGCUUCUAAUCCUUUGAGCAUUUCCCAUCACCCUGUGGAAUCGACACCCCAAAGCUAUACUACAAUCACAGCGUUAUACUUUGGAUGUAAUCAAAUUUUGGCGCCGUUGUAGGGGAGACGGUACAAAUACUUGAAGGAUUCUCGAGCAAAAGGGUGACUUCAUCCCUUUUUACAUUCUUUUAGUUAGUUUAGUUUAUUUUCUUAAUUAUUUUGUUAUUUCUCAUUUAGUUUCAUUUUUUUGUGUUUUAUGAAUAGGCUUCGAGACGAGUGAGUGGGAUUUAUUGCGAG
rnacentral:lncRNA from 1 species